rnacentral:rRNA from 1 species
UACGUAGGGUGCGAGCGUUGUCCGGAAUUACUGGGCGUAAAGAGCUCGUAGGUGGUUUGUCGCGUUGUCCGUGAAAACUCACAACUCAAUUGUGGGCGUGCGGGCGAUACGGGCAGACUGGAGUACUGCAGGGGAGACUGGAAUUCCUGGUGUAGGCGGUGGAAUGCGCAGAGUAUCAGGAGGAACACCGGUGGCGAAGGGCGGGUCUCGUGGGCAGUGAACUGACGCUGAGGAGCGAAAGCGUGGGGAGCGAACAGGA